rnacentral:rRNA from 1 species
AACGGUGUUCCCGCUUCGGUGGGGGCAUAGUGGCGCACGGGUGAGUAACGCGUGGGAACCUGCCCUGUGGUACGGAACAACUCCGGGAAACUGGAGCUAAUACCGUAUGCGUCCUGCGGGACAAAGAUUGCAUCGCCAUGGGAGGGGCCCGCGUAGGAUUAGGUAGUUGGCGGGGUAACGGCCCACCAAGCCUGCGAUCCUUAGCUGGUCUGAGAGGAUGAUCAGCCACACUGGGACUGAGACACGGCCCAGACUCCUACGGGAGGCAGCAGUGGGGAAUAUUGGACAAUGGGCGCAAGCCUGAUCCAGCAAUGCCGCGUGAGUGAUGAAGGCCUUCGGGUUGUAAAGCUCUUUCGCACGCGACGAUGAUGACGGUAGCGUGAGAAGAAGCCCCGGCUAACUUCGUGCCAGCAGCCGCGGUAAUACGAAGGGGGCUAGCGUUG